AUACGGAGGGUGCAAGCGUUAUCCGGAAUCAUAGGGUUUAAAGGGUCCGCAGGCGGUCAAUUAAGUCAGAGGUGAAAUCCCAUAGCUUAACUAUGGAACUGCCUUUGAUACUGGUUGACUUGAGUUAUACGGAAGUAGAUAGAAUGUGUAGUGUAGCGGUGAAAUGCAUAGAGAUUACACAGAAUACCGAUUGCGAAGGCAGUCUACUACGUAUAUACUGACGCUCAUGGACGAAAGCGUGGGGAGCGAACAGGAUUAGAAACCCUAGUAGUCC
rnacentral:rRNA from 1 species